AAGCCUACACUGCCAUGGAUGUGCGGGC
rnacentral:misc_RNA from 1 species